rnacentral:rRNA from 1 species
AUUGAACGCUGGCGGCAGGCCUAACACAUGCAAGUCGAGCGGAUGAAGGGAGCUUGCUCCUGGAUUCAGCGGCGGACGGGUGAGUAAUGCCUAGGAAUCUGCCUGGUAGUGGGGGAUAACGUCCGGAAACGGGCGCUAAUACCGCAUACGUCCUGAGGGAGAAAGUGGGGGAUCUUCGGACCUCACGCUAUCAGAGGAGCCUAGGUCGGAUUAGCUAGUUGGUGGGGUAAAGGCCUACCAAGGCGACGAUCCGUAACUGGUCUGAGAGGAUGAUCAGUCACACUGGAACUGAGACACGGUCCAGACUCCUACGGGAGGCAGCAGUGGGGAAUAUUGGACAAUGGGCGAAAGCCUGAUCCAGCCAUGCCGCGUGUGUGAAGAAGGUCUUCAGAUUGUAAAGCACUUUAAGUUGGGAGGAAGGGCAGUAAGUUAAUACCUUGCUGUUUUGACGUUACCAACAGAAUAAGCACCGGCUAACUUCGUG